CAGACUACUUCGAUCGUCGGUAUUUUAGAAUUACUAACCGACAACCGACCUCCGACGCAUAGUCGGCCGACUCAUUCAAAUAUAUCAUAACCAUCACGGACUGUUACUCCAUCGAAGAUAACUUCGAUCAGUGUGGACUUCAUUUUGUAGGUGCUCGUUCCCGAUGAACAGGCGACGAGGAGAUUGGCAGCAACAGAUUGACGCGUUAGGAAGGAAAAAGACAGCGGCA
rnacentral:lncRNA from 1 species